AAUAGAGCCGUUUCCUCCUUUCACCUUGGAGGAAGCAGCGCCUUGGUGGUGGAAGGAGCCUCUCACUGGGCUGGCUUUUGCAGGGGCCAUGGCGUCCCUCUGGAUGAAAGGCUCAGCGGAACUCUAAGUCAUUAUCGUGAUCAAGGACGAAGGAAUCGUUUCCGCGUUUUCGGUUACCCGUGGUCAACUGAGUCUGAAAAUAGCUGACUGGCACCCUUCUCUCUGGCUGGCAGCGGAUUAGCACACUGAAUCCCAUCCCUGAGAUGUCCUGGCACACAUCCUGGGCCCCUCUGUGAAGUGUUUGCCAUGGCCUCGAGCCCCUCAGGUUGAGUGCACUUGUCUGCAAAGGGCUGUGUUCUACAGCAACGUGGGACCCACGAAGGAAGCCUUAUGAUUCAUUUUUCAUCUCAUCAUUACUCGCCUUGCCUGUAUGCCAAGGCUGGGAAGCAAUGGGCCAGAGGUUUGUGCUCUGAGCAAUUCUGAAUCAUGUGGAGAAUAUGAAGGAAAAUGAGAAGUUUAAAAAUACUCCAUAGGAAAGAAAUGGUGUUUUAUAUAACGAAAACUCUGAAGAUUACACUGGCUGGUACAAGGAAGAUUUGUUUCUGCGACGAAAGUAAGAAUGUAAUGUAUGCUAUAUUCAUUUAAUCUUUACCAGAGUCAAAACCUAAUGAAUUAUCUGGCCUAGGUAAAGCAACUGCCGCAGAAAGCUCUUGGACUUAACGCGGCCAAGUAUUGCCCUAAUAGAGAUUUGCAUGUAUUUGGCUAUUUCCUAAUUUGGCUUGUUAUCCUUCUUCAACACACUUCCAGUGUAAAACCCUCACAUCUACAAAUGCAUUACCCACAAAACCGCAAGCUUUGCUAUUCC
rnacentral:lncRNA from 10 species